CGGCCUCCCGGAGGGCGGCCUGGAUCGCGCCGGUCCGGGCGGCGAGCCCGGCGUAGUCGACGGCGUCCCGGCCGGUCCACACGGCCGGCGCCGCC
rnacentral:tRNA from 1 species